UUAGUGGACUUCUCGCGACG
rnacentral:siRNA from 1 species